UGCCGUUGUGUGCAUCUUGUUUUCCUCGUUAGGGAAGGGACUCGUUCGUGUUGGUUUUGCUUUUCAGUCAGCAGGGGUGCAGGUAUUCAGGGCUCAGCCUAAGGAAGAUUCCAAAGGGAGUUUUAGGGAUGGCUGCGGCUGGCUUUCCCAGAGUCGGUCUCAUUCAUUUUGGUUUUGUACCCUAAACAAUUUGACACUGUUUUUUUCCCCAGGAUUUAGCAAGACAAUCCCAAAGUAAAGUUACCUUGCUGUUAUUCCUGGGAAUGUUUUUACUCUGUUGCCUGGAAAGGCUGACCUGGAACAGAGACUAGACAGAGUAAAAGGAAUAAAAGAGGUAUUUAUUGAAAGGAUACACUUUGGGGCAGUGCGACAUCCCGGCCAGGACUACACCCAAGUCAAAUUCCACGUGGAUGUCAGUAACAAGUCUUUACACUUUUAUAAGUUUUGGUUCAUCUCCAUAUUGGGGUUUAUUAUCCAACCACAGCCUCAGGCUAUGAACUCUCAGCCCCCUGGCUUGCUCCCUUUCCCUCACCGUUGCUUUUGCUUUUUGGGUAUCACUUGUCCUUGAUUGUCUAGCUAGAAAGGAAUUAUUUUGUCUAACUACCCUGUAAAGAGAAUUUACUAACACCUAAUAUGAAGUUUCACAGUUACACACUAAGCAGCAGAGAUUCUGAAAAAUAUAAAAGCUAAAACUUUUAAAGCUCCAGUGUGUGAGCUCCAAGUCCCUCCGUACCUGAGGACUCAAAGGUGUUCGGGUGUGACAGCAGAUGGGAAACCUGUGAUGUGCAAAUCACCCAGUUGGAAGCGGUGCUGGAGCUUGGAGUGUGAGGGGCUGGGACCAGGGAAAAAGGCAUCAAGUGAGUGGUGUGCCCUGGGGACAGGCGGAGCCUGUCCUUACCCGUCUGCCAGGAGCAUCUGAAGGAAAGCAAACACAGAGAUUGAGUGGUGGAGUGAGGAGAAAGUUGCUGGCUUGCGUGAUUUCUGACUGAGCUGCCACAGAAACGGGCAUCUGUGUGUGCACAUGCUUCCUGGCAAAUCCAGAUGUGACGUGGAAAUCCUAGGGGAGGAUUUCCAGCCUUGACCACGCGUGACACAGGCUUGUGAAAAUGGAAAUGGCCUUGGCAGAAGAGCAGCUGUGAAGUGAAGCAGAACUGCAAUACAGGUGCUGCCCAGGACGGACAUCUGUGGCCUCAGACAGCGAUUGCCUGGGAGGAAGGGAAGGCUUUGCACAGCUCACCUGCACAGCUCAGGACUGGAGAAAUGGUUCCACUCCUCCCAUCUUUGCCAAAAGCUGUGCUGUUUGAGGAGCCAGAGCCAAGGUGCCUUCAGCACCAGGGCUCUGCACUGGGGGGCUCCCGGUCCUGCCCGCGCAGGGUUCCCCUUUUCCUCCCCGCUGGGAUGAAGUGUCUAUGGAAUCUGGGAUCUGGGUGAAACUGCAGCUCUGCUGGUAUCCAGGGACGUGAGGUUCCGGGGGACUGCGUUUCCCUGUGGCUUUCCAGGUUGGCAGGAGCCGGAGGAAAUGGGGUGCCAGAGCCGUGCCCCAUCAGGCCGUGUUUGCCUCUGAGGAACAGAGAGUCCGGGCUGAGGUGAGAUUGCCAGGAGUGCUUGGAUGGAUGAGCUGUGCGGGGAACGGGGAGCUCGGAAUCGCAGCUGCUGCUGGAUCCAUUGCCUUAGGUCUGCUCCGUCUGUGUCUGUGCCAAGUGGGAUUUGUGCUGGGGAGAGAGGGGCUGUGGGGAGCCAAAGGCAGAAUAAAUCCUCUCUGGGGAUGGGCAGCGAAGGACUGAGUAGCAGGGAAGGAGAGGAUUUCUAAAGGAUACGACUGUUUCUGCCAAGAGCGGGGUGGAGCAGCGAUGGGGGUGGUUGGGUUUGGCCUGAGCUCUGUUAUUCUUGGUGCCAUUUUAAAAUUCUGUCGUGUGAUUUACUGUCUGGGAGCUUUCGAACGAGAGCUGACGGAAAUGUAGGUUAAGCCUUGGAAGUUGGGUCCAUUGACUGCAGCAGCUCGCCGAGGCUGGAGGCCUGGGGUGAUGGCUGCUCCCAGGAAAGGUUACUUAUUUAUUGAUACUGUGUCACAUUUCCCUCAGCGGCUGCCAGCCCGGAAUGGCUGUGAGUUUGUGCUCUUCUCAGUGGGGGAUUGGAGAAGGUUUUGGCUGUAAUUAGAAGUGGGAGAAAAAUCCUGCUAAGUAAGUGUCUCACCUCUGUCCCCCCUAAGUUAUCCCAGUUUUUCCCAGCUUGGAGCUGCGCAGAAGUCAGGCAGGGGAAAUUACAUCAGGGAUACAGCUGUCAGUUCCAAGGCAGAGAGAGAAGAUGUAGCAGCCAAGGGCAGGGGAGGGGAAAGGUUUCAGAAAGCAUUUCUGUGGUGUAAUGAAUGCCAAUUUCUGCUUGCCCAGGGAGAAGAGGACGAACUCCCAGCCAUUCAGGCCUGACAGUCCCCUGCAGCGAGAGCUCAGCACGCAUCCCCAGAGGCAAGUCCAGCAGGAGAAAGAAGAGGAAGAGCAGCCAGCCGGUGAGGAAGGGAGGAGAGGCUCCGUGCCGGAUGAGGCCCACGGGAGAGAGUGAGCAGAGGAGCAGCCUGGGGCUGGAGAGGGGCAGGAGAAAGGCAAAGGGACCUCGCUGGGGUCACAGAAUGGACACUUGGAUGAGCAGUGCAGGUGAGGAGUGGAUCGGAGUUCACAUGCAGGGAAAGAGGGAGGGGAUCUUUUGGAGGGAGGAGCUGAGGCGAUAAUGAGUUCGCUGAGCUCGGCACAUGUUGUGUUUGCACAAAGCGGGAGCAGAGGUGAGGGGCGAUCCAGAGGCAGCCCUGCUUGACCUCUGAAUUCCAGGAGGGUCUGUCAGCACAGCGAGCUAGCAACUGAUGGGGAUAAAUAAAGCAGCCGUGCCUUUCUGGGCCUCUGCAUGAUAUUCACCCAGAAGCUGCCUUUCAAGGACUGAAGUGGAACAAAAGGUAUAAAAGAAAUGUCAUUCCCAGAGGGAAAAUAGUUGCAUUUCUCUUGUGUCUGCUUUUUUUUUUUUUUUUUACAGUUACCUCAAAAUUCCCGGAUCCAGAACAGCUACUUUGAGUUUUGGUAGAGAUUCCAAAGCAGGAUACAGUAGGUUUCAAAGUACACCUUGUAAAAUCAAUCAUUUGCCUGCAGCAUGCAGCAUGUAGGUGUGAUGUCUGUAACUGGUCUUCAUUGAUGCAGAGGUACUUGGAAAAAAAUGUUUAAUUUUUCAUCUCUCCCCAGCUUCAUUCUUCCUAAGUGUACUUUUUAUUCAGCAGGACUCGGAUGAGAGAGAGAGAGAGAGAGAGGAACUCUCUUCACAUCAGCAUCAAAGGAAAAAGUGUUCAGCUACUUACAGUCCUAGUGACUGUUCUGUGUAAAAGCAGGAUUGUUUUUCCAUCAGACCUUGCGUGCCGUACCAGUCUGUGCGUUAACAGGUGCCUAAGAAAGGUCAAAAGGGAAUAACUCCAUGUCGUUCACUCGUGUGAAUCUUGGUGGGGAUCAGAGCCGAGAGUGAACUGCAGUGAGGGGGGGGUUACUGAAGCCCCAGUUUGUUUCCAGUGAGCGUGGUGUUGUGGUGUUCAAAGUUACAGGUGCCUGCUGGCCUGGAGCUGGAUACUUCUGCCUCUGCUUUCUUUGGGGGUUGAUGAUUCCUUAUGUUUAUGUUGGUGUGCCAGACAAAUUGUUAAAGGUAUUUCCAUCAGACCUGGUUUGAAUGUGUUACCCCUUCAUUUAAUUAAAAGAAAAAAAGCCCCGCUCCAUCACUGCUGCUGUGAUGUGUGACAAAAGCCCAUCUUCCCUCCACUGGGAAUAGGUGAGAGAUGGAACUAAACCCCGAAGGAUUUUCUGCUCACUGAUGGCACGUGAGUUUUCUUGGGAAUUCUCUGCCAAAUGUGGUGAAUUGUUUUUGAAUGUGGCCAUGAGGGGAGUUGAACGUGCCCGUCCAGAUCUGCAAACAUGCAGUGCCAGAAGGAGAAGCCUUGAAAUGUAAACCGGGGAUUUAUUCACCUGACUCACAGGUGUGUGUGCUGUGCCCAGGUCCCCUGUCCAAAUCCUGGGCGGGGAGAAGCCAGGACUGCACAUUCCUCAUGAUAUGAAUUCAGGAUGUUUUUU